CAAAACGAGUUGCUGAACUUGGAAAACUUGAAAAAUCCAAUGACUUUGCUUCAACUGGGUCUGACUGUGCGUUACCUUUGUGUUCUCAUCCUUUUUGGCGCGCUGAGAAAAAAUGGAGUCAACGCCUGCAAAAAGAAUACUCUGCGCAGGAGAAAUGUACAUUUUGGCGCGCCUUCUUUAUCUCCUGCACCGAAAUGGCCGACCAACCAAACCAUGGCUGUUUAGACUGACCUUCGACCUCCUCCCAGCUGCUGACGAAUAAAACCCGCCCAAAAGAGAAAAGUUGCUCGUCUAUGGUGAUGGUAGUGACGUCACGACGCAUCUGUCAGUCAACUUGGCAUAGCCCUUCUCAUUAAGACGGAGAGAAUGCCACGUUUCAUCAAUGAACUACAACGAUGCGAACGCGGGAAUACGUCUGGAUAAAACAAAAACAAAGGAGGGCGAUUCCUGACAUCGUGUGUACGAUCUCCCAAACAAGGCGGAAAUUUCCGGACGGCGGGAGUGCCGAUAAAAACGAAAAUCCCAACGAUAACAUCGGAGGAGGACAAUCUCGAUGUACCAACACCAUCCGGCUCUUCAUAUCUGGGGACAACACAAUCAUCGAUGGAAGUCUUCGACUCGACCACGAGAUGGCAGCGGUUACCGACUCGGUCGCGAUGGGGUCUCGAGUGGUUGCGGAACUAGGACUUUUCACACACACAAAACGAACGGAGUUGGGAAAGAGGAGGACCGCCGCGCUUGAUGGUUAAUGGUCGCUCUACGCUGCAGAGUGUUGGCACGUUGAUUGAGGAAGUUUUCCUUUCGCUUUGAGGGCUGGCGCAGUUGAGACCUGGCCGGUGGUGAACGAUCGACUAGUCCGGUUGCCUGCCAGUGAAAGAGAGUCGUCUUCUCCUAGUUGGCCGCCACCCCCGAAGAUGUUUGCCACUCGACAAUCGACGAUGAGGAGGAGGAAGAAGAAAAAGGGUGUACGCCGCGGCGCAGCAGCAGCAGCAACCCUUUUGUGUUGGUCCCCAGUAGCGACAAUUGCGACUCGGCAACAUUGCGGCGCUAAUGAUUGUUUGGAGGGCAAUUUUCGAACGAUGCGCGUUCACACGCAGACACAAGGAACUGAAGGGGAGCCAUUCAGCUGAAGGCAUAACCAAAGAAGGAGGAAGAAAUUGGAUCUGAAAGUGAACCAGUUGGGAGCGUUUGCAUCCACAUCAAGCCCCCCCAAAAUGACGACCGAGUAGAAGGCAGUGGGAAGGAACAAGCUGAUGUGUAAAUAAGAGAGCCAUUAGCCAUCGCUGCAUCACCACGUGGUUCGCGCCGAAAGUGAAGCCAACUUUUCACAGUGCCCAUUGAAUAACUGUCGGCCAGACUUCUUCCCUACCACGAGCCUUUCUCCUCCGCCAUUGUCUAUUCUCUUAAAUUGUGCCGAUUGCCAAUGGAUUUCUUAUCGGAGGACACACACACACAAAAAAAGAGACACGGACCUUGUGCGGGUCGUUAUCUUCUCGAACCUGAGGUGAAGAUCGCGGUGUUUUUCGCUACCGGGAGUAUUUCUUUAAACAAAAAAAAAAGCUGAACUGUGGCAGGCGAAUCGAGUUCGACGAUGUGGCGUCUUCGCCACUCGCAAGCUAUCUGCUUGUCUAAUCUUGACGUCUCAAUCUCCACCAGUCAAAAAAAAUAAAAUCCCAAAAAACCGAACUGUUUGGAAGAGAGAGAAAAAAAAAGACCCUAUGGCAACAACAGAAAAGUCAGAUGCCCUGCUUUAACCAAUUUAUUCAAGUCGGCUUUUUCUUCAUUCCUCCACCGCUCCUCCCUCUCUUCUCUGUUGGUGAGUUAAAAAAAAUAAAAAUACAACGAAAGAGAAGUUUUUUUUUCCUUUUCUUGUAUUUGAGAUUGUUUCCGACGUUGCAUCAUUGGUGAAGAGGAGGCCACCCCACUGGUCAAAGCUAUUCAACAUGUCGGGAUAGAGAGAAAAGAAGUGAGUGUCAUUUGCAACGUGUCAUCCUCGUAUUUUUCUUUUUUUAGGCCGAAAAAAAAAAGCAGCAGUGAAAUGUGCGAUGGUGGUAGACACGAGAUAGCAGUGGAUUCCGUGAAAAAAUGGAUUUUUUAAAAAUUACUCUCACCUCAGUGGGGGCAGAGAACAUUAUUCAAAGGACGCUUUCCCCCCCUCCCGCUCAUCGUCUACAACAUGAUGGAGACUUUGAAAAAGGGCAGCGCUAGAAAUCGGAAUAACCAUGUCGCGACCGGCUCGUUGUGGUUUUAUUUGAAGGUUGUUUUUCUGCUAAAGGAUCUGCGCGAAAAAUUGGGAACCAUAAACCGCGAGCCGCGGCCUAAAAAGGCAAAAACAUGGCGAAAUGGCCAUAAAAACGGUGCAUUGUGCUUUUCUUGUUUGUUCCCUUUAGCAUAACAACAAUAGCAAAAAGUUGAGCCGAAAAUAGCAACAACACACAACCGCACCGACUUGUUGACCAAAGAAACGCUUUAACACGUCUGUAGCCUACAAAAGAAAAAAGAAAAAAAAGAUGAAGAUGUAGAACAAUUUUGAUGACCCCUGACCUGGCGGGCAAUUGAAUAUGAGCCCACCGUACCGGACAUUUCUUUAAAAAAAUUUGCUAGAAAGAGAAAUGAAAUCAAAAAUUUUCGAGAAAUGUUUCAUCAUACCACUAAAAUCGGAUAUCUGACCGUAUUCGAUUGCAAGGCCAUCCGGUCAACUGAUUAUCAUUAUCCUAUAGAGAGUUGUGAGACUAAUGAAGACAACUCAUUUUUUGAUUCUGGUAUUUCUAUUUCGCCUUGAAACCGCCUUUUUAAUCGCGUUAGCCUUAACCCAGGUCACGGGCAAAAAAAAAGGGGAAAUGUCAAAGUUGGAUCUCAUCUUCCAAUCAUUAGAUAAUGGCUACUGUUUAUAGCAAUAAAUUAUGUCGUGUUGUUUUGAUAGAACUAUUUAUGGAACUGCAAUUUUAAAAUAGUGUUUAUCAAUAAAAAAUAUCAUUUCGUAAAAUAAAAUGGUAAUCGUUUUUUGAUGAGCUGGCAGCACUGGUAAUUAAUUAAUUUGGAAAAUUUGCAACCUUGAAUAAUUGUGGAGGGAAAGAAUGCCAGUCUAGUCAGAAAAUGUGAUGUGUGCAGUACAACUGUGUCUAUUGUGUCGCGUUUCCGUGCCAUCAAUCAUCGUUUGUCAUUUCUGCGAACACUUAAAGAUGAUUAAACAUUUGAGCUCUUUGUGCAAACGAGGUGGUAAAAAAAACAAUUGAUCCGUGGACACAUGUGUGUGCAGAACUUUUCACAGAAAGUCUGGUCUCGGGUGUGCAUAUCAUCGCGGUUUCUCACAGACCCUGGCAGCUAGUGAGGUGGAGACACUAAUUAUACCGAGCCUCGUUGUGAAAAGAUUUUCUCGGCGCUUAACCAACGGUAGCAGAAUGACGGGUUUUUUUCCCCAAAAGCAGCGGGUUUAUUUCGUCCCUAAACACAAGGCCUCUUGUGCUACCCAAGUCGCUGGCCUCGAGUUAAAUCACCAAACAUCUACCGACGGAUAUGGAAUCGGUUUGAAAGUGGCGCCGUCGGAUAGAGAGACCAUCCGAGAACGACAUCAGCAGAUGGUUUGAUAGAGCCAUUAGAAUAAUAACCGUGUAAUUGCAAGAUGGUGGUCGAAACGAGCCCUUUUGUCGAUUGACAAUGCAAUGAGAUCAUUUCCCGGUGGCAUAACAUUCUAUUGGACAUUUUCGUGCCAUCGCCGGAAUGAUGGUAGGACGUUUCAAAUGCUAUUCAAAUAUUCUCUAGCAGUUUUCCUUCUCACGGACAAAGUCCCGAGUGUCAGGUCAAAUUCGAUCGCUUUUGAAAUGCAAUCCUUACCCAUCAUCACUAUACCACCACCUGCGAUAACAAAAUGCGCAUUCACGCCCGCUGCAACAUCAAUGACCAAUCCGAAACGAGCCGGAAUAGAACGAAAGGUAACACAUUCGCAUUAAGUUUUCUUUCCUUAUUUUAUUUAUUUAUUUCAUUUUUAUUUUUAUAUUUAUAAUGUUAUUUUCAUUUCCUUCUUCUUUCUCGCUCCCUUCCCAACAUUUUCUUAAUAUAAACCCCGUCAUCAGCAACGUGAACUGUGUGUGCGUCAGUAUUAAAUCAUUCGGCACCGUGCACACGCAGAGGGGGCUACGUGAAGGAAAAUAUAUUUAAAAAAAAAAAAAGGAGGAGAAGAUGAAGAGGUUCCGCAGAGCAAAUGCACACACUCCCCGCAAUCUUCUCCUCCUACUCCUUUCGGGCUAUCGUAGAGACGAAGAAGAAGAAGAAGAAAAAGAGUAUGAGAUUAAAAAAAGAAAAAAAAAGAAUUCCAAACGAAAAUAAUAUUUUCAUCAGACGAGAGAAUAAGCGAUGGUGGGAGGAGGGCUAGAUAGAUCGUAAAUUAAGCUCCCCCGCCAGAAGAGGUCGGGUGGGUGGGUGAAGCUGUGUGUGUGUAUAUAUAUAUAUACUAUAUGGCGGAGGAGAGAAAUAGAGAGAGAAGCAGGAGCAAGAGAGGAAAGAUAUACGAGCCGGGCGACGUCAGCCAAGUGCUGCUCUCUCUCUUCCUCGGUCGAUGGUUGGCUGGAGAAGAACUGCUUUUGCUGGGACCGAGAGCAGGGGGGGAGGGGGAGGCAGUUGGAUUUUUCCUAUAGGGCAGAGGCAUUUUCUCUUGUUAUAAAUCACUCGGCUGACUCGCCCGUCUUUUUUUCUUUCUUUUUCUUUCCCCCUUUAGCUCUUCGUCCAAGUUCACAGCUAAAAUGGGGAAUUUUUUUUUUGUUACGUGCUGGUGUAGUAGCCAAGAAAAAAAAAAUAAUGGUAAAUAAACUGGAGCGCAAUAGCAACUCCGCCACACUCAACAAAAAAUGGGCGAAUUUUGAUAGAACAUGGAACUUUGUUUACCAAACCGCUAAAUUUAUUUCAACUCCAAUAGCGAUUCGGUGUACCAUUUCCUUUUACAUAAUAGAGUGUAUAGGGGAGGGGGGGUUACGUUUGUCUCUUCUACGAUAGGAUUUUUCUCCAUAGAAGGAUCCGACCAACUAUGUAAUAGAGAAACUUCGCAUGCACCGCAGUAUGGAAGGCGUUUGGGGAGAGGGGCUUGACUUUGACGGAGGGUUGGUGUAGUAAUACAUAAAAGUGGAUUGUCUCUCGUUUCGUUUCUCAUUCUUCAAUAAGAGGAAUCGAAGAAGAAUAGAGAAUUUCAAAGGACUUAUUGCGGGCCGCUUAUUGUUUGACGCAUUGUCUUGUUGAUGGGGGCCCCGGCUGCUGGGAAUUUUCAAACUGCGAUCGAGAGCGAAGGUUCGAUCUGCUCUUUUGUGUCCCUCACUGCCGCUGGCUCUACUCGCGUUUGUCUCUUUAAUACGAAUGUCGGCAGUAAAAACGAACCAAUAAGGUUUGCUCCAGUUUUACCGCCAAUUGGAUACCUGUAGCUUCACUAGAACAUAACAUUUAAGUUUAAUGGCAGCGUUUCAAUAACUUCAACCCUCUGUCCCUUUUUGUUUUUUCGAUUGUUGUAAAACAAUGGGAUUAACUCGUAAGUCCCUUUGAAUUCUUUGCUGUUCGGGUUUUAAAUCUUGGAUAUUUAAAAGAAGAAAGAAGAAGAAAGAGAUCAGCUGGCAGGGAAAAUGUGUGUUUCAUUAAUACUCACGUCGCCCAGGGUUAAGUGGAAAGUCGCUUUCCGUGCUCUGCAAGACGCGAUCCUUAACAAGAACAACAGCAAUGAAGAAAGAGGUCAUUCUCUCACGUCUUCAUCUAGCCAGGAAGGAGGAGAGAGAGAAGAAAAAAGAGUUAUUAGAUGCAACAUAACAUUUCUUCUUAUUUAUUUAUUUUUUUUUUUCUUUCCCGGGGUAUUUUCCUAUUAUUAUUCGGAGCUAUGAGGGUUUUUUUUUUAUUUAUUUCUCCCGGUGAUGUAUUACUUAGUUAUCAUACCCCAGGUAUAUAUACACGGAACCGUGUGCGUAGCCCUUCUAUUUUUUCUUUCUUUACUAGUAGGCUACAUAUAUAGUAUAUAAAUAUAGACGGCACGGACAACACGCUCACGACGAGACACAAAGAUGGAAUACCUUGGCGUCUGUCAGCCAAUGGGCACAAAGAGAAGAAGAACCGCCGCUGGUGUGCCCCAGGUGCAGGCACGUAAUUAAGUUGAGAGACUUUGAAAAAGAAGAAGAGCCUAGGGCGAAGGCAGUCCUCGUGUAAUUACGCAUGGUUGGCCGAGUUGUGUGUACUCGUCGUACGUCUUCUCCUACGUGAUUGGUCACCGGCUUUCCUUUGCACUUAAAAAAAAGGGAGACAUAAGGAAUUUAAGAAAAAGGGAAGAUACACACAAUUUGUGUGUGUGUGUGUGUGUGUGUGUGUGUGUUUGUGUGUACAAAAGAAAACGAGAAUUAGAAAUAUGAACAGCGCAUUUAUUCGACUGUGUGUGUACUAUUGUUGUGCUGGCGUAAGACGGAAAGAAGAAAUAAAAAUUCCCGCCUCGCCCGCGCAAAACUGGCGCUGUUCAAUGACUUGAUUAGCUAAGCUUGAAUGCGCCUUCUUCUUCUUUUUUUUCUUUUUUGUUGUUGGUACUUUGACUCUUACGCAUAACGCGCUUGUACAUUAGCUUCGAAAGCUCUAUACGUGGGCUUCACAAUAACUUGGACGCAGCGGGUUACUCGCUGCCUGCGCUCUUCGGCUCUGUUGUAAAUCACAUGUCGGGUUCGGAUAUGAUUAAAUGCUUCUUAGUUUGCUUUUUUUUUACGCUUUUUUUUUAUUUUCUUUCUUUGUUGCAAGAUCGGCCACAACCAGCAAUCCAAGAAAUCCUUGGAUUGCUUUUUUCGCUGGUGCUUUAAAAUAUAUAUUUGUAAUUGCCCCCCAAAAAAACAUCAAUGGCAACGCUAAAGAAACAUUCGUGUUGUUUUGUUGCUAGUUUUUUUUUUAAGUCCGCUUAUUUUUGAAAUUACUCUUGGCAAUAACUGUGUGUUAUUUUUCUUUGGCGCAUGGCUUUGCAUGUUUUAAUUUUUCUUUAAAUGAUAACUGUGGUAUAGAUCUAUAUCCCGCCUGCACUGUAACCACGACGUCGUUAACGCUUCUUUAUAAUUCAGGGUCAUUUUCUGUUUUUCUAGCCGCAAAUACAGUCAGCGAUUGCGAUUUCAACAUUUGCUGACGGGCAUAAGUCACGUAGUGCUUUGCUUUUGUAACGGAGUUUAAAAAAACAAACAAAAACAAUUUUAAUUUAGCCUCGAUUUCCAUGCAAACAGCAUCGUCUGAUAUAUAUUUGUAAUAUAUAGCAAACCGAAACACUCGGUGCCCUGAAUGGUAACGCAGCGCACCGGAAAGCUCGUCUUAUAUUGGAAGUCACUGCCAGUGCAAUACGCGUCCUUUCUUUUCCAGUUUGUCAGCCAGCAGUUGAUGGAAAUAUUAUGAGAAUAUGGGGUUGUUUUUUUUUUUCUUCUUCUUCUUUUCUCUCGUUUUUAUUUUUAUUUAUUUUUUUGUACGUUUUCUAUAUAUCCAUCCAUCCUUCUCUACUGUUAGUCUCUCGGCAGCCGGCGUUGCUUGCUGUUCAUUGGUUGCAUAGAGUAGACAAUAUGACGCAAUAAGUCUCUCUCUUUCUCUCCCCUCCUUUUCUGACACACGCUGGCGCUGCCUGGCUUGUUUCACAUUUUCGAGAGAGACCCCCUCGUCAGUGUCUCGUAUAACCCAUCCGCCAGAUGGAAACUAUCGUUUACAACCUCAAAAUGGGCUAUAUGGGCCUGUUAGACGAUGACGUGGGGCAUUGCCUAUAGGAGGAUAACACAUCACCGGCAAUUCAUUUCGCAUCGUUAUAUAUACGCGCACACAGUUACGAGUUGUAAUAGUGGUAGUAGUACACACUAGUGCAGUCGUCGUUUUAUUGGUCCACUAAAAAGGCAAACAAGCGCUUACUCCAACCGCAUUAUGAGGUGUCGAUUAAAGAGCCUUCAAAUUGAUAUUUCAUACAGAAAGUUGUAACUCAUUUUUUCUUUUUUGGUGGGAAUUUAUUUCAAGUUAUUUUCAUACGAAGAGCUUUAAUUCCAAGAAUACAAACACGAUAGAGUGUGCAAUAAGUCAAGCCAAAGCGCUUUAGAUAUGGACAUGUAUAUUGAACCCCUCUGUCUUCUCUCUUUUCCUCUGUGUAUUUACGCUAUCAAAAGGGGGGGGGGGAUGAUUGGUAUUCCAAUCAGAUUGGCUUGUGGACUUUGGGGAAGAUACAAGUUUCAGCUCCUCUCCAACUCGGCGAGAAUGUUAUCGUAAAGUGGGCGAAAACUAGCAACAACAAAAAACGGAGCAAUUCUUAUUUUUUUUCCCCUCUUUUUUCUUUUUCUUUUGUACUCCACUAUACUUUGACUCCCGUUUUCGAUUCAUUAUAAAAUGCUAAUGCGCAGUUUCGUGUGUGUGUGUGUGUGUUGGCGUGUGGUUUUCCUCGAGCGCCCGAGGUCUAUCGUUUCUUUCUUUUCCCUUUUGUGUUGCUGGGCUCUCCAGUUAAGAGGAACAGCCUCAGCAUGUUCAUUCAGGUAACACUGACUUGCAUCUAGGACAAGAGAAAUGAAGACGUUUGGCCGUCGCGGCAUGAAAGGGGAGGAUAAAAGAAAAUGAUGAACGCGGGCAAGAAGAAUAGACGAAGACGUAGAAGUUGAGUCUAACCUUUAUAAUAAUAACGAGCAAUUAUAUCCGGGGAAAGAGGAGAAGAAAAAAAAAAAUAUAUAUAUAUAUAAGAAGGGUGCUGUCUGUAUAAUUACGAACGCUUUGCCCCGCCAUUGGACCGACAGUUCUCUCUCUAUCUAAAGUUUCAUGUUAAUGUCUUUUUUCUUUUCUUAUUCUCAACUUGUUUCUUGUGUAUAAUUCGGGGCCUGCUGGCGUGUGGGUGUGGCAAACUCGCAUCCGUGUUCACGGUGGAGGCGGGCAGCGAGGCGAUGAUGCAUAUGCUCAUAAUGUUAUAUUAUCUUGAUACUACACUCUUUUUUUUCUAUUUUUUUAUUUUAAGCUUUUGUUUUUCUUCUUUUUUCAGAGUGUCUUUUGGAAGAAAAAAAAAGGGAAAGAUUUUCAACGCAAGCAUCAUCUUGUUUGAAUCUUAUAUUUGUUCCAGUCUCAGCUCAGCCGUGCUGUACCAUAUAUACUUCAUUUUCCAGUCCAACAAACCGGGACGUGCCGGGCACGGCUCUCAAUUUUUAUUUCCCUCCUAUCCACGCUCCGUUUUGGCCCUCCUCCCCCGUAACUGAUGAAAGGAGGGCUGCUGCUGGAAACGGACAGGGCCGUAAAGCUUGAGAGCUCCUCGUGUGUACACGCUUGGCCGGCUCCGGCAGCACGGAAUCCGACAUACUUCGCUACCAGUUUCUCUUUCUUUUUUUUUUCUUUUUUUUCCAUCCGUCCGUUUUCUCUCCCCUUAAAGAGCCGACUGUUUGUUUUCGUUUCCGUCCGAGGUCGAGCGUGCGUUUUCUGCAGUGCAGCAGCCAGGAACGAGAAAGAUUUGUAUUCCUCUUUUAAAAAAAAAAUCUUCAUUUUAUCGCGUCUUCUCCUUGGCUUCUUUUCGUAUUGGAUAAAUGAUUUCAGAGUAAAGAGAGAGUUACAAAACGAACAAACGGAACUGAAUCGAUCAUUUCUUAGUUUGACACGAAACAGGAGGGCUUUUGUCGCACUGUUUUCAUUUGCAAUGAAUUUAUUUGGUUUUUACCUAGUGUGCACGUAACACUACACUUUGUCCCAAAGUUUGAGCCGUUUUCAUCUUAGCAUAGAAUGAUAAACAAGAGGGGAAAUAAGUCGUCGUUUCUAAUCGCAUUAGACGCAAGUGCAACACAAGCAACGACGGGCCAAACAACUCAGAAGAAAAAAAAAAAAAAAUCAGCUGAUGAGCGCUUCUUUUCUCUUUCCGUUUUGCCGCUAUUCUUUUCUUCUCUUUUAUACAUUAUGGAUUUUCUUAUGUCUGCUUGCGCACAUAUAUCUUGAGCCAGGGGCUUUUGCUGCACUGCUGUGAUUAAGAUGGCAAUUUCCUUGGGAGCGUUGCUGCUGCCGCCUUCCUCCACCUCCUCUAUGUAACAUCGAUUGUAUCAAAGUGCCAUCCAUACAUCUUAGGCGGCCUCCGCCUCCUCUAGACGACAAGUCUCUCUCUCCUUCGUCCUAAAUCAUGGAAGAGAAAGAAAGACAAAAAAAAAAAUGAACAAGAGGAAGAAUAACAACUUGAUAUCUUUCUGCCUUUUUAUUUUUGUUUCCCGCAAGUUCUGCUAUGUUUAUUUAUUAUCUUUUCUUCAUUUCACAUUUAGAACAACAACAAACACAAUUUCACAUGGAAAGAGAGCUGAUGUCUUAACAAUGAUGUUACUUCAUUGUAGAAGAAAUUGAAGAUUGUGGGGAAGAGGCGGAGUUUCAGUUGACUUGCCUGAACUUUAUUGGGCUGGACGGGAGUGACGAACCAGCGGAGAGCACGAGCCAGAGAUUCCUGUUUGGCGCACUUCCCAUUUCAUCCAUCUGCGAUGCCAGAUGAGUCACUAUACGAUGAGGGUUGUAAUGGUUUGCCUCCCUCUGAAAUGAUCACCAAUCGCCAAGAAUACUCAGCAGAUACGUUCAGAAGCAGCCCGGCCAGGGACCUGGCAGCUAAGCCUCGUUUAUCGCACAUAAAAUCUGAAAGCCUAACGCAGUUUCGGUGACAAAUGAUUCCAUAACCCGAUCCAGAGAAUGCGUUAUUAAAAAUAGAAGCACGGCAAAGCGUUUGUAAUGACCGCCAUCUGUUAGCAAGUUGUACAACCCCAUAAAAUAAGAAAACGAACAAAAACCCUGCUUUUUUCCCGAAGUUAAGAAAUAGGGAGAGAUUUUCGAUGCUGUAGAGUUUCAUAGUUCGAUAUUCUAACGAGGGAAAAAUGAAGUCUCAUUGAAAGAGAUAGACCCUUCCGGCUGGAACCCAUUUGAUUAACCCCAGUACAUUGACGAACUAAGAAGUGUUUUUAAAUGUGUAACGAAGAAGAUGUGCCCAAACCUCGUUCAGUGACACGCGACAGUGUUAACGAAGCCCGUGUAUCAUUGUAAGAGAUAUUGCUGUCCGUAAAGAAACAGUCCUUCUUUCAAUAAAAUUGACAGUUUAGAGUAA